UACGUAGGGCGCAAGCGUUAUCCGGAAUUAUUGGGCGUAAAGAGCUCGUAGGCGGUUUGUCGCGUCUGCCGUGAAAGUCCGGGGCUUAACCCCGGAUCUGCGGUGGGUACGGGCAGACUAGAGUGCAGUAGGGGAGACUGGAAUUCCUGGUGUAGCGGUGAAAUGCGCAGAUAUCAGGAGGAACACCGAUGGCGAAGGCAGGUCUCUGGGCUGUAACUGACGCUGAGGAGCGAAAGCAUGGGGAGCGAACAGGAUUAGAU
rnacentral:rRNA from 1 species